rnacentral:misc_RNA from 1 species
GCAGGAACCCAAUCACCGAAACAGAAAAGGAAAAACUCUUGUGCAUUAGUAAUGGACGAAAGGAAGCGAAUUGCCGAAAAUGUUGAACAAGAAAUUAAGGCAAUUAUGGAUGUGUCAGACAAGAAGGAUAAGCAGCGGAUGAAACGUUCAAUAUACCAUAUACCAGCUGCUGUAUCAAUCCCAGACCUGAACAAGCAAGCCUAUCGGCCUCAGGUAGUCUCUUUUGGCCCUAUCUCUACAUUUGGCCCAUUUGGUGAAAUGCAGGAACACAAGGAAAGAGCUUCUGCUCAUUUUCUAAGAAGAUCAGGAAAACCUCUUUCGCUUUUUGUUGAAUCAUUAGCUGAAGUUGUUAAUGAUUUAAGAGAUUCAUAUGGUAUUAAGUACGGAUACAGUGAUAGUAGUGUGCUGCUCAGAUACAGUGAUAGUAGUUUGCUGGAAAUGAUGAUUUUUGAUGGGUGUUUCAUUUUGGAAAUAUUACACUUUUAUUCUGAUACGCUCAAUGACUAUGGUCCUGAUGAUCCAAUCUUUAGCAAACAUGGGAAGCUAUAUAUCAUGCCAUUUAUUAGGCGUGACAUGUUAAUGCUUGAAAAUCAAUUGCCAAUGUUUGUCCUGGAAAAGCUACUUGCUAUUGAAAGAGGCGCAGAAACGGUAUAAUAUAUUGAAUCUCGUUUCACAGAUUUAUACUCUCUGAUGCUUCAAUUCAUUUGAUUGCGUUCAUGCACUCCAAAAACUUGUGUAAAUUUAUGCAGAGUGCAGAGUACAUCAACAAGCUCAUUCUCAAUUUUUUCUUUCCCAACACUUCCAUCUUAGUUCGGGAAAAGUGUGUUCAUGUCCUAGAUGUGUACAGAAGAAGCCUGCUUCAGCAACAAGUAUCGGAGAAAACCCAUUACAGCAUAUCAGAAGAUGUCCAUGAAGAUCAUGACAACGUUUUUAUCAGGUCUGCAACAAAGCUCAAUCAAGCUGGAAUCCAAUUCCAGAAAAGCAAAACCAGAUGCUUGGACGACAUCUCAUUCCAAAGUGGAGUCCUCAAGCUUCCAGUGAUUGUGGUAGAUGAAACCACUGAGUCGAUAUUUCUGAAUUUGAUAGCCUAUGAGAGCUUGCAUGUUCUUGCGGGUACUGAAGUGACAUCUUAUUUCAUCUUCAUGAGAAGUAUCAUUAAAGACAAGCAGGAUGUAGCCCUUCUGCAUUCCAAGGGAAUCAUCCAAAAUGGUCUAGACAGAGACCAAGAAGUGGCUAAAUUGUUCAAUUCUCUUACAAAGAUUUUCGACUCUCUUACUAAGAACAUUAGAUUAGACCCAGAAAGCAAGCUAUAUGCAGUGCAGAAGAAUAUGAUCAAUGCCUGCUGUGAGAAGAGUUGGAAUCAAUGGCCUGCUAAAACAUUUCAGUACAAUUUCAGGAUUAAUCCCGGGCCGAUUCUGUCUCUUGUUACUGCAAUCAUCCUUUUCAUUUUUACUAAUAUAUAUCUUCACUAUCAUAACAAUGAAUCUCCAUGACCCUUUCUUCUUGUUCAUCCUCUACCAAUUCUCUCAAGCUCUCCCCAAAACCAUUAGCUUCAACCCACCAUUGAUUCACAUUGUUCCAACCAUUUGCAAAUGAAUAUGUUUAAGAACUUGUAUUUUAAUACAUAUAAGUUGUUUAUGAAAUGAAUUACUGUGAAUAAUUUCAAAAAUCUGUACUUUGUUUAGA